ensembl:lncRNA
CUUCCUUCCCUUCCAAGUGUGGCUUAACCCGUUAUGUUGAAUUUAAUAAAUUACAUUUUCAUUUAUCCACGGCUCCUUCGUUCCCUCCAGCAGCAUAUCGUGACAGAAGACCAACCUUCAAAAACCUUUCCCUAUUGGAGUAUGCAGUUGAGUUCAGCCAGCUUGCCAUUUUAACGGCAUUCGAUGCUGCGAUUGAACUCACUGUUCUGGAUUGGGACUACUACUAUUGUCCCGUCGACAUCCCAGUUACCGCUGGACUGAGCUGGAGGGAAGCCAUUAUCCGGUGUCUGGAGAGUGUCUAUCCCCGAUCACAAGCACAGCCAGACCCAGAGCCCAGCCCACCGUCUCCCUGCUGCACGGAGCACAAACCGGAGCCCACUGCUGAUAGAAAGCAAGAGCCCGUCGCGACCAACGAGCCAUCGCCAAGGAGUGUGACAGAGCUGAGGAGGAGCUCCGCCCCCUGCACCGUGGCUGAGGGUGAGCUAAUUACGGAUCUGGGACUGUGCAAUUCCAAAGCAGAAAGGGCUCCUGUUCCUGAGUUAAGCCCAGUGGCUCACAAAUGCCCGUACUCCUGCCUCCUCCACUGUUGUCUGGCAGCCCCUCUGUUUACCCUCAGCACACCAUCUGUACUGUGCGAGCUCCGCAGGUCUGCCAUCCUCCAUUGUCACCGUGGCUGGAGGAUCCCUGGUCUCCACCUCCAGCCUCGAUCCCAGAUUCUGUUUCCCCACCUCUUCCGCCUCAGUCGGUUGGCCCCCUGGAGUUGUCAGCCCUUCCUCCAUGGCUCCUCCCUCUGUCGGCUCCACUGUGGGUUGUCAUUAUGGCUGUGGCCUGAGUCCCACCUGGCACCCCAUGCUCCAAAUUCCUCCUGUCGUCUCCCUGGCUCCUCCCUCCUUAUCUGCCCUGGCUCUUCCUGUUUCCUGAUUGGCUCCUCCCUCCGUCGUCACCUCCCUGGACUCUUUCUGCCCAGCCCCCUCCCAGGUGUCCAUCCUCCUCCUGAUCCUUCCCCAGUUCCCACCCGUUCCCUCUCUCUGGUUUUACGGCACGAGGGCGCACCUCCCGGGAGGGGGGCAAUGUGUCAGGACCUGUCUGUGUGUCUUUGCUCCCCAUGUUCUCUCCUUGACCCAGUUUCUCCCUCAUGUGCCCUUAUUUGGUUGUUCCUGUCCUCAUUGUCUCAAUUAUUCAUUCUGUUCACCUGUGUUCCUCCCAAUUCCCUUGUUAUCCGGUGUAUUUAAGCCCCAGUCUGUUAAGUCUGUGUUGGUCGGGUCUUGUGUGUGUGUGUGUGUGUGUGUGUCUUCCUUCCCUUCCCUUCCCUUCCAAGUGUGGAUUUACCCUGUGUUGGAUUUAAUAAAUGAC